GACGUAGGGGGCAAGCAUUGUCCGGAUUUAUUGGGCGUAAAGAGCUCGUAGGCGGCUCAGAAAGUCGGGUGUGAAACCUCCAGGCUCAACCUGGAGACGCCACCUGAUACUGCUGUGGCUAGAGUCCGGUAGGGGAGCACGGAAUUCCCGGUGUAGCGGUGAAAUGCUUAGAUAUCGGGAGGAACACCAGUGGCGAAGGCGGUGCUCUGGGCCGGAACUGACGCUGAGGAGCGAAAGCGUGGGUAGCAAACAGG
rnacentral:rRNA from 1 species